CCUACGGGUGGCAGCAGUGGGGAAUAUUGGGCAAUGGGCGCAAGCCUGACCCAGCAACGCCGCGUGAAGGAAGAAGGCUUUCGGGUUGUAAACUUCUUUUAUUGAGGACGAAACAAAUGACGGUACUCAAUGAAUAAGCCACGGCUAACUACGUGCCAGCAGCCGCGGUAAUACGUAGGUGGCAAGCGUUAUCCGGAUUUACUGGGUGUAAAGGGCGUGUAGGCGGGACUGCAAGUCAGAUGUGAAACCCAUGGGCUCAACCCAUGGCCUGCAUUUGAAACUGUAGUUCUUGAGUGAUGGAGAGGCAGGCGGAAUUCCGUGUGUAGCGGUGAAAUGCGUAGAUAUAUGGAAGAACACCAGUGGCGAAGGCGGCUCUCUGGUCUGCAACUGACGCUGAGGCUCGAAAGCAUGGGUAGCGAACAGGAUUAGAUACCCUGGUAGUC
rnacentral:rRNA from 1 species